UCUUUUCUCUAUUAACCCAAAUGUACCUGCAGGCACAUUUCAGUGUACGGUAAUAGACCCUUUGCAGCCCAGAGUCAAGUAGCCCACGGGAGUGACACCUAAAUUGCUCAAAAGCCCCAGCAGAAGUAUUUAGUCCCCUUCACAGACACGAUACACUGUUCCCAGGCUGAACCAACACCUCUUCCCGAGGCGGAAGUGCUCUGAGUGGCCUUUCAUCGAAUGAUUGCACUUGAAUGCUAAAAAAUGGUACUGUCCCCACCUGGGUCAUAAUCCUCCCCCCUCCCCUUUUCCCUUUUUCAGAAUGGACUGGCCCGGCGACAGCUAGAACGAGUUUCCUGCACAGGCAGAAAAGCCUGGUGAUUCUCUUUUUGGGUGGAUACACUGAACAGCCAGUGGAGGUUGGGGGUGGGGGCUGUGUUUUGGUCAGAAACAGGCUUAUAUAAUAGGAAGCUGCAAGGGCUGGCUCAGUGCAAACAGGAGCUGCAGACUUGUGGGUGUCUGCAGGUCAUUUUUCAGACUGCUCUGAAAUGUCACAAGUGGAGCGUUCACCAGGCUGAGGAGGACUGGAAAUUAGCCUGAAGAAGCCUUUACAGAAGAGCCUGCUGCUGGGUCACUGGGAGUUUGCUGUUGACUUCAAGGGGAGCAGGGUUGAACCCAAUAAAUGGUGCUGGUGACAAAGUGUGUACCAGGCAGGAUGCAUCAACCCUUUCGGCGUUUGAGAUGUGACCACAGACUUGAGAAAGGGAGCAUAGCCCAUAGGUGCACGUCUCUAAUUGUCACAUGCACAUCCUGAUGAGUUCCAAGCCUUGACGUGCUGCUUAAUGAACAGGACACGAACAGGGCUCAGUUUGCUGACUGUGCCGUCUGGGCUGUCAACAUCAUUUCCUGGCAAACAGGCAAAUUUAGAGUCUCUGGAGAGGAUUUGAAGCCCACAGGGUUGACACCUGGUAUGACUUUCUGCACAGGAUCUUCACAAAUGAAGAAAUCUGACACACGUUUGUAUUUUAUGGCCAAUUAAGUACGUGAAAUGGCCACCUGAAGAAGACAGAGCAGGAUUUAAAUGAUAUGCUCAUGACACCUUAGAAGGCCAUUAGAAGAUCUCAGCAUUGUUGUGGACAGACAUCGGGGGGACAGGAAAUUUAUUAUAAGCCUUUUCCCUUGUAGAAAGAUAAUAAUACAUAGUUAGCCGUGCACCUGUUCACCAAAAGAGGCACACAGCUACGCUUACAUCCAUCCAAGUUCUCUCUCAGCCUAGAUUUGGAUGUUUACAGAGGUCUCUGAGCUGAGCAUCAUAGAUCAUUUGUGAAUGCCCUACACUCUGAGGAAUUUGAUUUUCACAUGUAUGUGUGGGAGAAGUUGAAUGUGCAUGCAGAUCGAGCUGUGGUCUCUUAGAUUAACAGCAUCUGGACUGAGCAACUCUGUCUUCUGACCUUGAUUAAACCAAUGAAACCUUG